rnacentral:tRNA from 1 species
GGGCCAGUGGGGCAAGGAUAACGCGCCUGACAGGGGAUCGGGAGAUUCCAGGUUCGAAUCCUGGCUGGCUCC